rnacentral:rRNA from 1 species
GAGUUUGAUCAUGGCUCAGAAUCAACGCUGGCGGCGUGCCUAACACAUGCAAGUCGAACGCGAAAGUGGAGCAAUCCAUGAGUAGAGUGGCAAACGGGUGAGUAACACGUGGGUGACCUGCCUUCGAGUGGGGGAUAACCUUCCGAAAGGAGGGCUAAUACCGCAUGACAUACCGUGUUUGGAUACACGGAUAUCAAAGCCGGGGAUCGCAAGACCUGGCGCUUGAAGAGGGGCCCGCGUCCGAUUAGCUAGUUGGUGAGGUAACGGCUCACCAAGGCUCCGAUCGGUAUCCGGCCUGAGAGGGCGGACGGACACACUGGAACUGAGACACGGUCCAGACUCCUACGGGAGGCAGCAGUGGGGAAUUGUUCGCAAUGGGCGCAAGCCUGACGACGCAACGCCGCGUGGAGGAUGAAGAAUUUCGGUUCGUAAACUCCUUUCGACCGAGAUGAAUACUCACGGACCUAACACGUCCGUGGGCUGACAGUAUCGAGAGAAGAAGCCCCGGCUAACUCUGUGCC